rnacentral:lncRNA from 1 species
GUCUAAGCGCUUGGUUGGGUCCGAGAGAGAACGGAGACGCGCGCACCACGGAGAAGGACAAGGUCGGCCCCGGUGAGAUCCAACCAAGCUUCACUGGGGCGUCUAGGGCUUGCUUUUUGCGACUUCGAUGCAAACAGAGGCUACGGCUUUGGAGGGGAAACUUUAUAGGACGUUGGUUGGCGAAAAAGGCAAGGAGAUCCCGCUGCUUUCGCGAUUGGAAACGGCUGCACAGAGCCCACGUCGAACACGGCGGGAGGUAGGGGAAAGGGGCGCGGCUGACGGGUGGGCCCCGGCCGUCAGCGGGCCAUGGAGGGGGAAACGGGUGAGCGCGCACGCGGCCUGGCCGCUGGACCUUUCUCGGGCCGAGAGCGGAAGUGGGCCGGGGUGAGGGGGUGAACUGGCUGGGCGCUGGCUUUCUGUUUUUUUUCUUUUCUGUUUUCUUUUUCCUAUUUCUCCUUUGUUUUCUAAAGUCUUUUUGAUAAGAGAUUUUAAAUCCUUAUGGGAGAAAUACAAAAUACAUAGACAAAAGCAAGCAAGCAAGUAAAUAAAUAAAUUAAUCGCAGCAUGAAUGCACCACCAUGUUUCUAAACUUAUAAUGAAUUGUAUAUUUUGACCAAAACUAUUUUAUUUACUAAAUUAAAUGCUCACCAAAAAUGCUUAAUUAAAUCGAAUUAAUUCCUAUUAAUUGAAAACAAAUUUUUGGAUCUUACAAAUUCUACCCCCCUUAAAAGAAUCUCGUCCUCGAGAUUGAAAGGUGCUUACUCAAACAGGUAUGAGUAUGAUUUCCUCAUAUCAUCCUCUCUUUCCCAAGUUGCCUCUGCUUCCGAAUACCGAUUCCAGUGUACUAGCAAAUUUAAUGUCUCUAGUCGAGUAACAUACCUGGUAACUUAUCUGAAAAUUUAUCCCCUACCCAGUCCUGAAGAUCAACACCAUCAUCCAGCUGAUUCACUGUAGCUGUGGGUGGAGCCUGCACUGCUACAUCCACACUGAUUCUCUCCCCCUUGGGUGUUGUCACCACUACUACUUUUUCUUUACACUUAAUUUCCGUAGCAUAUUUCUUCAUCCAAUCCAAACCCAAUAUCACAUCUAUGCCUGAGGUUCUCAUAACCAUGGGACUAACAGGGAAAUCUACCCCCCUUAAAGAAAGACUUGCUGAGGGGCAACAAUAUGAAACUGGUAUAGUCCCUCCCGGUGAGUUUACUAGCAUAUGGGUUUUCAGGGCAACUAGUGGUAUGCUAUGAGCUCUAACAAAUGCUUGUGAUAUGAAUGUAUGCGAAGCUCCAGAAUCAAAUAAAACUGUAGCGGGAAUAGAGUUGAUACUGAACGUACCCAUCAUAAUCUCCGGUCCCUCUUGUACUGUCUCUGCAGCCACAUGGUUCACCUUUGCUCCAUGAGAAUUAGACUUUUGGUUGUUGUUCUGCUGGUUGAAUCUCUCCGGGCAAUCAUAUGACAUAUGACCUUCUUUCCCACAGCGAAAACACCUAGUAGGGGUAUUGGAAGCACUUCUCUUCAUAGAGCUGGCAUUUGAAUUUCCUGAGCGGUGAAUCUGCUGACCACUCUGCUGUUGAUUAGGAUCACGCUGAGGUUGUUGGUUGCGAUCCCGUUGACUAACUGGUCCAUGGUACCUCUGUUGAUCGCCCUGCUGAGAAUUGAAACGUUGGCGGUUGUUGCCUCCAGAACCUUGGGCUAGCAUCCUUCUCUUCUUGUCUUGGCCUUUUCGCAUGUUAUCCAACACAAUAGCACGGUUCACCAGAGCCUAGAAGGUAGGAUAUGUGUUUCCAGCUAGUUGCAAUCUGAGUUCAUAGUAAAGACCUUUCAUGAAGAGACGUUUUUUGUCAGCAUCCUCUCUAACUUCGUUUGGGGCAUAGCGAGCCAACUGCUCAAACAUGUCAUGAUACUCAGCCACAGACAUAGAACCCAUCCUGAGAGAUCUAAAUUCUUCCUGCUUGAGCUCCAUCAUUCCUUCAUUGAUAUGUCGCGCUCUAAAGUCUCUGCAAAAUUCCAACCAAGUGACAGGAGGAGCAUUGUUGGGACGAGCAGCUUGAUAUGACUCCCACCAUGUCUGCGCUGCUCCCUGAAGUUGACCAGAAGCAUACAACACCUUCUCUAAGUCAUUGCACUGUGCUAUGUUUAGUUGCCUCUCCACAGCACGUAACCAAUCAUCCGCCUCCAUGGGAUCCGCUGAGUGUGUAAAUACCGGAGGUUUCCCUUCAUGAAUUCCCCCCGCUUAUCUCUCACAUGAACAGGUGGUGGUGUUGGUGGAGGUUGUUGUUGUAGGUGUUGCAUGAAGACGUGCAUCAUCUGAUUCUGAGUUUGCAUAAGUUCCUCCACAGUAAUUGGGGCAUUGUCACCAUUGCCACGGCCUCUACCUCUGCCUCUUCCCCUUGCUGCCAUCUGCAUUCCAAGGUAUAUAAACACAUCUUUGUAAUGUCCAACAUGACAAUUACAAGAGUUAACCGAAUCUGAAAUUUUCUGGGUAAUAUCCAACAUCAGCAGAUCAGAAAAUCAGUAAUAUCUCGAGUUCCAGAAUUCAAAAGGAUACAUGCUGUACACCGUUGGAAAGAUAAAGAAAUUGUCUACAACUUUCAUUUAGAUCAUAUUACCAGAUUCCAACGUGAGGUUAACCAAAAACUGGGUACAACCGAAACUGUUCCAGAAUUCCAGACUGCGCAGAAACCUCAACUUUAAACAGUUAUCACUCACAGUUCAUAACAGAUAAUAAUGUCAUUCUUGAGGCAUUGGAAAGAUAUGGAAGUCCACUUGUUUCCAGAAAAAUUUGAUGAACAUUGCACAAACAGAUUUUGAGAUGUACCAGAUUCUUUGCGGACUGCUCCAGAAAACAGCAAAGGACGGAAACAGAAUCUUACCCAAACCCAACUAUUUAAUUCAUUAAUCCUUAUGCCUUAAGCCUAUAAACUAAAUGAAAUUGUAGAGGAAAUCCACAAGAUCAUUGCACUCAUUACAAAGAUCCAAAUCAAGCAUAAGCAUAAUAACAAACCAAACCAAGCAUCAAAGGUUCACAUUUCAAGCAUUAACUCAACUUGCGGUACUAUCGUUCUCUUCCUAUUAAGGGCAAAGAUUCCUAAAAUUCUCUUUCAACUAUGUAAGCAGGUGGUAAGAGAAGGUUCUAAAAGCAUAUUCAAAGCAAGGAGUGGGGAUGAGAACAAGUCUUUAAGAUAAGCAACAAGGUGAAGAUGAAUAGGAUAUAGUGUAGAAGAAAAUAUCAAGGUUUAUAGAACAAGGAUUUUAUAGCAAUUUCAAAACCUUAUGACGGCCAAUUUCUAACUAGGCUUGCGUCCGACAGUCAACAAAGCUUUGAUACCAAUUUGUCACACCCAUAUUUUAAGAACAAAAUAGGAUGCAUAAAAGACUCAUAUGUGCCCCAGGAAUAGUCGCACACAUAAGUAGACAAAUCUCAAAUGUACCAUUGCAGUGUUUAUUACAUAGCGAAAUAUAUAUUGAAUCACAUAGUCUCAUACAAAAAUGAUAGCAUAAAGUAAACAACGCUCUCGACGGAAGCUCCACACAGGGACACUGUUGACUGGUUGACUCCAAACCUAGUACUCAUAACGGUAAUCUUCAUUCCAGUCAUCUUCAUUAUCAUAUCCUGAGGUGUUGGGAAAUUGCAAGGGUGAGCACAUAUCGUACUCAACAAGUAUAACCAGGGGUUCAUGAGGCUCAAUUAGCUGACACUGGUUUGACUGCAUUUAGCUUUUAAUAGUGGAUAGCAUGUUCAUAAUUAAAUAGCAAUUGUCAAGGAAGCAUAAAUAAUCCAUUAAUCCCAUGAUCAAGUGUAAGCAUAAUUAACCUCAUAGCAUAAACGAUAAUCAAAUGAACAUAAUAACAUAACAAGCUCAUCAUCUUAAUGUAGAUGUCCCCAAGGCCGCUCCUGACCGUGAGCUCGGCUAGUAUACCAGUUUUACACUCUGCAGAGGUUGUACAUCUUUACCCAUGAGUCAUGAUUUACCCUUUCGCCCGAGGUAGCUAAUCUCUUAACCCCCUUCCUAGGGAGGUCGGCAGGGAUCACUAUGAAGCCUUUCAAAAGUUCGUCUAACAAGUUAGGGCCGCAAGGUUUCCUUUGCGCGCAGAUAUAGAGCCCCCCUUCCGAUGGCACAAUGACUCGCAGCCUAUACUCAUGCAGACAGAGGCCACACUAUACCCAAAACGGUUCAGCCCCUCCGCCCUUUCGGGUAACCGCUAACAAGCUAGAAAAGGGCUUCAUACUGAGCUAAAGCCAGAGCCAUAAUAGCCCUCAUGGUUGCACUGUUAUCCCGGGUGAUCACGUACAGACAAGAUCUCAUACAGUUAUUUGUCAUUCUUUUAUGUUCAUUGCAUAGCUAUUAAUCAUCUUACAAGAUCAUGGAUUAUAUCAAGCACUAGCACAUCUACACCAAAUGCAUAUCAAGUAGGUAGCAAGGAAUACAGGUAACAAUUGUCUAUGAUUUUGCUAAGGUCGACAAGGUGAUAGCAUGCAUAUGAUAUAUAUGUGUACUUAAGUGAAUAGGUAACAAGGAUGAUCCCAAGUUAUACUUGCCUUGCUCAAAGCUCUCCUGAGCCUGCUGGUCUUCAAAAGCUAGGUCUUGAUCACCAACGUACAGCUCACCGUCUAUUCCCAAACAUCAAUCAACAACACGCAAUCCAAUGGAGACAAUCAUACACAAAGCAAACAAGGUAUAAUUAGAACAUUACACCAAACAGUGGUAAAACAAAUAUAAAAGUUUAUCAAAAUAUUCUACGCAGCUCUACGAUCACACAAACGUAAAGUUCACGAAAAUCGGAAUUAAAACGUGAAAGAUAUGAAUUUUCUAAGAUUUCCUAUAGAGAAAUAAUUAAUUAAAUGCUACUGUAGAAUUAAAAAGUUUCAAAACAGUAAACUAAUAUUUCUAACAUGUAGAGCAUACAAUUACGAACCUGACGCAAUUUGAAUGGAUAAAAACGGAGUUAAAACGAAUAUUUUAUGAGCAAAACAAAAUCAGUGGCAAUCUUGUAAAUAGCAGAAAAAGCAUUUUUUUUCAACCGGCCGUCACCAGCUCCGGUGCGGUGGCUCCAUUGCCGGCCGGAAGGAGCUCGCCGGCGACGACGGACUUCUCGAUUCCGAGCACCGUUUCGCGAAAGGAAAACACCGGGAUGAAGAGGAGCUCACCACGAUCUCGUCUAAGCGCUUGGUUGGGUCCGAGAGAGAACGGAGACGCGCGCACCACGGAGAAGGACAAGGUCGGCCCCGGUGAGAUCCAACCAAGCUUCACUGGGGCGUCUAGGGCUUGCUUUUUGCGACUUCGAUGCAAACAGAGGCUACGGCUUUGGAGGGGAAACUUUAUAGGACGUUGGUUGGCGAAAAAGGCAAGGAGAUCCCGCUGCUUUCGCGAUUGGAAACGGCUGCACAGAGCCCACGUCGAACACGGCGGGAGGUAGGGGAAAGGGGCGCGGCUGACGGGUGGGCCCCGGCCGUCAGCGGGCCAUGGAGGGGGAAACGGGUGAGCGCGCACGCGGCCUGGCCGCUGGACCUUUCUCGGGCCGAGAGCGGAAGUGGGCCGGGGUGAGGGGGUGAACUGGCUGGGCGCUGGCUUUCUGUUUUUUUUUCUUUUCUGUUUUCUUUUUCCUAUUUCUCCUUUGUUUUCUAAAGUCUUUUUGAUAAG